rnacentral:rRNA from 1 species
CUUGUGAAACCUAAAAGUUCGAAAAGAGAGAUUCAACGUCAGUAUGUACUGUAUUCACGUGAGUAGUGAUGCGUGCACAUUUUCAUGUUAUUUUAUUGCAGUACUAUUACCGGCGUGCACUUCUCUCUUAGUAGGACGUCCCGACCCGUUAAACCUUGGCCUACGGCACAGACUUUGAUAUUUUAAUUAAUGUCAAAGACCUCUGUUGUCAAAGACCUCUGUUGUGUUCUCCUGGCUAAAGUGUUUGACGGGGUGUCCAGCCGCAUAAUUUUUUUUAUGCGUCCAUGCGUCCGGCCAGUCGCAAGUUUUUGAUAUACCUUAUUUAUCAUAGACUCUGUGCUAUGUGAUAGGACUGUGCUUUAGGACUGGCUUACUUCACCUGUCUGGGACGCUUAGGCUUUGGGUACUCACAAGACCCGUCUUGAAACACGGACCAAGGAGUCUAACAUGUAUGCGAGUCAUUGGGUAUAUAUUUUCCAAACCUAAAGGCGUAAUGAAAGUAAAGGUUGAA